UACGCCCAUAUCAUGUUGAAACACCGGUCCUCCUAAGAUCACCGAAGUUAAGCAACGCCGAGCCUGGUCAGUACCUAGAUGGGUGACCGCUUGGGAAUGCCGGGUACUGUUA